CAUGAAAGGAAGAAGAUCAUCAUGACAAUUCUUUUAAUCUUUGCGCACAAUGAUAUUGCAUCUUGAAAAUUCAUUGUAUCCUCAGCGACCAAAUUUAUUGAAUGAGCAAAACAUGCAAUAUGUUUGAUAGACCCAAAGGUGCAGAAUAAAGAGGCACAAUAGUUUUCAUCAAGUUCCUGAAUCCUUCAUUAUCUACUGUCUGGAAAGGCAUAUUGUCUUUGGCAAGCAUGAAAAGGAUGGCAUUGUUCUUCAGGAUCCUAAAGGCCCUAACCUCAAAAUUCAAUCUUUUCAUUUUACUAAAAAAAUAUCUAACUCUAAAUAUUUGAUUUCUAAAAUUUUAAGAUUGAUUUUGGACAUUAGAGCCUGUAUCUAACACCAUGGAGGCGAAUAAAUGUGGUGCGAUGGUGGAUGCCUCUCGGCGAACUGUUAUAUAUACAGGACUAGGUGCUGGUGAAGAAGCAGGAGUUAAAUUAGAUUCAGAUAGAUCCAUGGACGUGAAUGUAGAGGUAGAUGCCGGUGAUGGCAUUAAUGACAAUUUUAAUUGGUUCUGAAAAUAAACAAGAGUAAACAAAUAAU